rnacentral:tRNA from 1 species
GGAGAGGUGCCGGAGCGGCCGAUCGGGUCCGCCUCGAAAGCGGAUGACCGCGUAAGUGGUCCGUGGGUUCGAAUCCCACCCUCUCCG